AUGGUUUGAUCCUGGCUCAGGAUGAACGCUAGCGGCAGGCUUAAUACAUGCAAGUCGUGGGGCAGCAGGGGUGUAGCAAUACACUCGCUGGCGACCGGCAAACGGGUGCGGAACACGUACGCAACUUACCCUGAACUGGGGGAUAGCCCGGGGAAACCCGGAUUAAUACCCCGUAAUAUUAUGGUGUGGCAUCACAUUAUAAUUAUAGCUCCGGCGGUUCGGGAUGGGCGUGCGGCUGAUUAGGUAGUUGGUGAGGUAACGGCUCACCAAGCCUGCGAUCAGUAACUGGUGUGAGAGCACGACCAGUCACACGGGCACUGAGACACGGGCCCGACUCCUACGGGAGGCAGCAGUAAGGAAUAUUGGUCAAUGGACGCAAGUCUGAACCAGCCAUGCCGCGUGGAGGAUGAAGGCCCUCUGGGUUGUAAACUUCUUUUAUAGGGGACGAAAUCAACUAUUCUUAGUUGUCUGACGGUACCCACAGAAGAAGCCCCGGCUAACUUCGUGCCAGCAGCCGCGGUAAUACGAAGGGGGCUAGCGUUGUUCGGAUUUACUGGGCGUAAAGCGCACGUAGGCGGAUUGUUAAGUCAGRGGUGAAAUCCUGGAGCUCAACUCCAGAACUGCCUUUGAUACUGGCAAUCUAGAGUCCGGAAGAGGUGAGUGGAACUCCUAGUGUAGAGGUGGAAUUCGUAGAUAUUAGGAAGAACACCAGUGGCGAAGGCGGCUCACUGGUCCGGUACUGACGCUGAGGUGCGAAAGCGUGGGGAGCAAACAGGAUUAGAUACCCUGGUAGUCCACGCCGUAAACUAUGAGAGCUAGCCGUGGACGGUUUACCGUUCGUGGCGCAGCUAACGCAUUAAGCUCUCCGCCUGGGGAGUACGGUCGCAAGAUUAAAACUCAAAGGAAUUGACGGGGGCYCGCACAAGCGGUGGAGCAUGUGRUUUAAUUCGAAGCAACGCGAAGAACCUUACCAGCCCUUGAAUGCCAAGAGACUUCCAGAGAUGGAUUUCUUCCCUUCGGGGACUUGGACACAGGUGCUGCAUGGCUGUCGUCAGCUCGUGUCGUGAGAUGUUGGGUUAAGUCGCGCAACGAGCGCAACCCCUGUCCUAUGUUGCCAGCGGAUAAUGCCGGGGACUCGUAGGAGACUGCCGGGGUCAACUCGGAGGAAGGUGGGGAUGACGUCAAGUCAUCAUGCCCCUUACGUCUAGGGCUGCAAACAUGCUACAAUGGCCGGUACAAAGGGCUGCUAUUCCGCGAGGAUGAGCGAAUCCCAAAAAGCCGGUCUCAGUUCGGAUUGGAGUCUGCAACUCGACUCCAUGAAGUCGGAGUCGCUAGUAAUCCCGGAUCAGCACUGCCGGGGUGAAUACGUUCCCGGGCCUUGUACACACCGCCCGUCACACCAUGGGAGUCAGUUGCUCCAGAAGUCGCUAACCGUAAGGAGGCGCACCAAGGGGUGGUUGGUAACUGGGGUGAAGUCGUAACAAGGUAGCCGAAC
rnacentral:rRNA from 1 species